UUGCAGGAACUUGAUCUUCCGAAGACUAACUCCCUUCCGAAGACACAAUAUCACUAAGUUGGGCGAGCCACGUGUCAAACCACUUUUUCGCAUCAACAAGAAGAUCAAACCUCAUUCAGAAUCAGAUCACCACCCCUGAUAUUAUUCCCAAAAUUGAAACAACUCAGCUUUUUCUAUAUGAAAGAGUGGGAAGAUUGGACGAAAGAGGAUUCUGAAAUUACAAUCAUGCCAUGCCUUUCUGAGUUGACAAUUCUACAUUGCCCUUUACUAAAAGCACUGCCAGACUUCCUCUUCAAAACACCACUGCAGACUCUUCGCAUACGUGGAUCUGAGAGAGUUGCGCGUUACCAAGAAGGCAAUGGAGAGUGGGCCAAGAUUUCUGCUACGAACCCAAACAUCCGCAUUAUCAGGGAAUAUUUAUGAAAACAUCUGUCUCCGCAGCAUAUAGUCUUGAGAUGGUGACUCGCUAGGAUUUUCUUUUCGUAGUUACUGGAGCUCUUUUCGCGGCAUGGGAGCGAGGGAAGAGUGAAUAUGACCCCAAGUUUCAUUUUAAUUCACCUUCAAGUGUCAUCAAGUUGCUCAAAGGCUAUAUGAGGGACUCUAUGGAAGCAAACGGAGUGGCGUAAACCAUCAAAGUCAGCCUACGGAAGUUCCAAUAACUGAAAUUUUGAUAAUUUUCAUCAAAGGUCAGCCUUGAGAACAGAGACAUGAUGAAUUUCGAAGGUCUACUGAGCUUUUGAUUUACAAACAUUGAUGAGUACCCUUAUUUUUUGUUUUGUAAGUAGAAACUUCGUGAACACCUUAUUUUUAAGGGACACGCAACAUCGACUGUAUAUAUAACUAAUCUACUGGUGUAUUGAUCAUUUGCAAAACUUCCUUUGUGUCAUUAAUUUGUAAAAUGUACUCUGAGGAAGUGGUGAAUUUGGGUUUGCAAUUUACCUUGACUUUCGCUUA